GACGAACGCUGGCGGCGUGCCUAAUACAUGCAAGUCGAGCGAACAGAAGCAGCAGAAUUACUUCGGUAAGGACGCUGUGGAAGUUAGCGGCGGAUGGGUGAGUAGCACGUGGGUAACCUACCCUUAAGACUGGGAUACCACUUGGAAACAGGUGCUAAUACCGGAUAGGAGUAUGAGCUGCAUGGCUUAUACUUUAAAGGCGGCGAAAGCUGUCACUAAAGGAUGGACCCGCGGUGCAUUAGCUAGUUGGUAAGGUAACGGCUUACCAAGGCGACGAUGCAUAGCCGAGUUGAGAGACUGAUCGGCCACAUUGGGACUGAGACACGGCCCAAACUCCUACGGGAGGCAGCAGUAGGGAAUCUUCCACAAUGGACGCAAGUCUGAUGGAGCAACGCCGCGUGAGUGAAGAAGGUUUUCGGAUCGUAAAGCUCUGUUGUUGGUGAAGAAGGAUAUAGGUAGUAACUGGCCUAUAUUUGACGGUAAUCAACCAGAAAGUCACGGCUAACUACGUGCCAGCAGCCGCGGUAAUACGUAGGUGGCAAGCGUUGUCCGGAUUUAUUGGGCGUAAAGCGAGCGCAGGCGGAGAAAUAAGUCUGAUGUGAAAGCCCACGGCUCAACCGUGGAACUGCAUCGGAAACUGUUUUUCUUGAGUGCAGAAGAGGAGAGUGGAACUCCAUGUGUAGCGGUGGAAUGCGUAGAUAUAUGGAAGAACACCAGUGGCGAAGGCGGCUCUCUGGUCUGCAACUGACGCUGAGGCUCGAAAGCAUGAGUAGCGAACAGG
rnacentral:rRNA from 1 species